rnacentral:lncRNA from 10 species
AUUUCCCAGGUGGACAUGUGCUGGGCAGCAUGUGCCUAGGACUGACCCAGAAGACACACAGCACCACACAACAGGAUUGAUGUGAUGACAAGGCCAAGACAGAAGGCUGUGGGAGGAGUGAGGAGAAGGUGGCCAAGUGCCUGAACAAUCAAAGCAGGUUUCACUCAGGAAGCUCUAUCUAUCUGAGUUGGGUCUUGAAGGACAAGUAAGAAUUUAUUAUCAGGUAGACAAGGAUUGGGAAGAGCAUCAAGAAAUGAAGAAAGGUGAUGUAUUCAUUGGAACAUGAUUAGUUUAGCAUGGUCAAUUUGUUAUUCGUAAACAUAACUCUGGAGGGUAAUGAGGGAAGCACGAGCUAGGAGGCUAGUUCAUAACACUCAAUAGAUACUGAUUAAUGCCUAUUGGCUGCCCAAGCACUGUGCUAGGUUCUGUUUAGAAAUAAUGCAAACAAGCAAACAGACAAUAACAAAAUUGGUAAUGUGUUAACUGCCAUGAUGAGGAGAGUACUGAGAGCAGCUCAGAGCAGCAUCUCCCAGACUUGAGUAGCUUGGAUUGCAGAAAUCCAGCUGAAAAAUCCUCAGUGCAAGAAGGCAAUAGAGGUGAUAGAUUCAGAGUAUAUUUAGGAGGUAGACCAGCCUAGCAGAUAUUGUUAGGACCCCACAUAUGUCCCUCACUGUUCCCAUGCCCUUUACAGCUUGCCCCUGCAAGUAUCUCUGAGUCUUUACCUGAAGACACUAAGGUUUGGUUUGUACAAAGGGUAAGCCAAGAAUUACCAGGGAGUUAGCAUCCCUGGCAGUGGUCCUCAACCAGUGUCAGAUGGAAGUCAGUGGAUAAAUACCCCAGGUUUGCUUGCCCUUCAAAUGGGACAGUUCUGAGGAAUGCUUUAGGCAGAGGACUCAGAUGGCAGAGUGCCAACCGCCCACAGUGGAAACCUGCUCAUUAACAUACCCCAUACUAGCUCUCUUCCCUUCCUGGUUUCAUUUCCCCAUUCUCAUAUCGGUAUUUCCUGGAAUCAUCUCCCAUAUAAACUGCUUGCAUUCAGAUCUUUGUCUCAAAGUCCACUUUGUGGGAACCCAACUUGAGACAAACAGAAAAAACUUUUAGAACAAGUAGAUGAUGAAAAUGAAGACUCAAAUAUGAGGUCAUGAGAUUUUUUGCUUGCGAGACGCUGACCCUAUCAAUUGAGCUAAAGGACUCUUCAGUGUAAGAAAAGGGAUAGAUUCUGGAAGAACAGGAUGAGCCUGAAAAAACUGAGCUUAAGGUGCCCAAGGGACUUGUUAUCUCAAAAUUCCCUGAGUACAAGGUUAAGACUCUUGACUUUGGAAAAACUGAAAAGAAAUAGCAGAAAAGGAAAUACACAAAAGAAGAAUCCAUCAGAAGUGAACAUCACGUCUCCCUAAAGGGAAAUUACAGUGUCUUCUUUUGACCCGAGAGAAUAUAAAGCCCUAGCUGUCUCUUCCAGCCGGUUUCUGUAUUCUAGUUUCUCAUAGUUGGAGGGACUCACUCCUUUAAAACCAUACAUAACUCCCCACCAGCAGCCAGCAAUGGCAGCUGUAGAAUCACUGUCUCCACCAUGGAAAAAGGCUCGGUGGGCAAGCUCCUUCCAGGAGUCUCCUGCAGCAAGAACAGCAUCGUAGGCAAUCAUGGGGGCAUCGUGCCCACUGCUGCCACCCCAGCCAGAGUAGCUCAGGGAGGUGUAGAACUGAUCCCUCUCCUUCACACCGAAAGACUCAGGGAAGGUAGGGGCUGAUUCUCCAUCCAAAAUCCCUCUAAGUUUUAGGUAAUUUUCCCAUUUGGUUUGGAAGUAGGACCUGUAGAAAGGAAAAAAUCUAGAGUCAAUUGAAAAAAAUAAAGUGAAAAGUCAUAACAAAAAGCACCAGAUGGAUGUGUGAACAGAGAAAAAUCCAACAUAACUUCGGCUUCUUGCAGUAAUAUCAUAAACUAUUUAAACAUCAAAAUUAUUUCUAUAUAAGUACCAUUCAUUCAAUACAUUUUUCAUAAGGAUCUACAUAAAUAAGGCAUUGAUCCUGUUGCUAAAUAAAGAGAUACAUAUCAAGUUAAAGGGUAAGAAAUACAGGUUUGUUUUCCCUGGGAGGGUCGAGAGUAAUGACCUUUUAAAGGGGAACUUCAAGACAUCACAACUGUGGGUGACUUCAGCAGAAAGCCUCUUUUUAUUCUAAGAAAGACAAUGUGAAGUGAACUCACGAGAAGGGGAAGAUGUGGCCUUACCACUUAUUAGUUAGCUAGUGGAAAAACGUAUCUCUGGAAUUUUAACCAAGGAUUUCAAAAUAUUAUUUGUAUACCAAGACAACACUGAAAAAGCAAAUUCCAGGAAAGUAGGAAAUAGGCAUGAAAAUUCAUGGCAGAAUAGGAUAGCCACAAAAAUGACAGGAUUCCGUGUAAGAGGGAAACACCACAGCUGCCCUAUUCAUUGAGGUAUCCACUUGGCUACUUUGUAGAAUCAUUACUGGAAGGGAACUUGAAAUCCUUAGCAGAUGGGUAGAAAGGGGGCUGGGGGUGAAAACCAUGAGGGUUGCUGUGAUCUCUGAAUACAAGACAUAUAUGUGCAGGUGGAUGUACACGCACAGAUUCAACCGUGUUUGAGCAGGGCGUGCGCUUACAGACUC